UUGCUUCAGCAACACACAUAUUAAAUCUGGAAUAAUACAGAGAAGAUUAGCAUGACCCUUGAGCAAGAAUGACAUGCAAAAUUGGUGAAGCAUUCCAUAUUUUU
rnacentral:snRNA from 1 species